rnacentral:lncRNA from 1 species
AGGGGUUCUGCCCCGACCUUUUACAGACGCAGUGGCGGGCGCCACAGGGUCCAUAGCGGGCGCCACAAGGCAAAAUCUGGGUGGGCCGAAUUUUGGUCCUUUGGCUUGGGCUUCUCUUGUCUUUUGGAUUUGAGGGGUCCGGAUAGCAUUUGUCUUGUGAUUUCCUAGUAUCAUUGGCUUGCAUAAUUUUUUAUAGAAGUAAAAAAAAU